CAAGUACAGCAGAGACGAGAGAGAGAGCGAGUGGCUUUUGGUUCACCUGUGGACAGGAGGAUAAAGGAGCUGCUUUACUUCCUUGGAUCGCUCUUACGCGUCCGUGUCCUGUCACCGAGCGGAGUCCGCGGGGAGAGGACUGUAUAGAACGGUCCGGCGGCCAAAAAUAGCACUGCAGAGGAGACUUUAAACCGAUAUCCCUCUGUUAAAAACAGCACUCAAGCAUUUCCUUUACAUGGGGAGAACAGACAUACCAACACAGCUCUACAAAUCGAGUUGUGGAAACUCGGAGUGAUGCUGCGCACCAGGCGAGAAGAGGAGGGGUUGGGGGAUCAAAAAUCUAUUUGGGAAUAUGCUUUCGGUCACUUUGAGCAGCCACUUAUGUAAACCAAGAGCUUCCAGAUCCGAGUCGAUCCGGAACAGUGUGAGGGUUCGAGGACCAGCUGGCAAGAGGAGGCGUGCGGCUGCUGUGGGUGUUUCUCUGGCAGUGUCUUAGCUGGUUGUUGUGAGGAGUGAGAACAAAGCAAUCAGCAAGUAUACUGCCGUAGAAAUUCUUUGCAAUAAGAGUCCUCGGAAUCCGUCUUGUCUAAUUGUCUAGACCCUUCUGCUAUGGUAUAAGAUGUCACGUGACGACAUUUCUUUAAUGAGGAGAUGAAGAAUGCUGAGUCAAGAUUCUGUCGGAGGAAAGCAUCACCUUGUCUUUUCUGAAAUGUCAUCUGCUGCCAUCUGGUGGCUGAAACAAACUCAACAAAUGUGUUGAUCUGUAGACUUCAGUUUAUACAAGGGGGCCUAAAAUAAACAGGCCAAUUUUAAUAUGUGUCAUUUCUUGAUUUGUUUUCGGAAUUAAAAAAAAAGACUAGCUAUAAUUGCAGUUUUUUUCAGCACUUCAUAUUAAAAAUGAACUAGGGCUGUCAAAUUUAUCGCGUUAACGAGCGGUAAUUAAUUUUUUAAAUUAAUCACGUUAAAAUAUUUGACGCAUUUAACGCAUGGGCGGAAUGACCGGCUCAUUUAUUGCCUCAAACAGAUUACAAUGACGCCGUUUUUUGCACAUUGAGAGCUAAGAGGCAGAGAAAGGCGAGUGGACACAGGCGUUCAUUGGACUAAAUUGAAUCAUUCAUUCAUUGGAUUAAAUUGAGUGAUUUAUUAGCUGUUGAAAACUUGCAGUAAAUAAUAAAAAAAAAAAAAAAGUUGCUAUUUUGGUCAAAAACUUUAUGUUAAAUAUUGCUAUUGAUCCUGAAAAUAUAGGUGAUCAUCUCUGCCGUUGAUGAUUUUUGUGCAUCUAGUGUAAAAAUCUGAGAUUUUAUUGCUAUUUUAAGUUAUGUUAUAUAAAAAAUAACUAAUCGGGAUUUUAUAAGGGAACGACUUUGAAUUUUUUUGAUACCGCUGCUCACGGACACUCAUACAUGGCUAAGGUAAGUGUCUGUUUUGGUUUUAUGUCGGUGGCAGGUUUGGUUUUGUAAAUAUUUGAAUUUGAUAUUUAAUAUUUGUUAUUCUAAAAAUAAAUAAAUAAAUACAAACUA